rnacentral:rRNA from 1 species
AUGCGUAGGUGGCAAGCGUUAUCCGGAAUUAUUGGGCGUAAAGAGGGAGCAGGCGGUUAAUUAAGUCUGAGGUUAAAGCGUGGGGCUCAACCCCAUAAAGCCUUGGAAACUGAUUGACUAGAGUACGGGAGAAGUGAAGGGAACUCCAUGUGUAGCGGUGAAAUGCGUAGAUAUAUGGAAGAACACCAGUGGCGAAGGCGCUUCACUAGACCGAAACUGACGCUCAGUCACGAAAGCGUGGGUAGCAAAUAGGAUUAGAUACCCUAGUAGUCCACGCUGUAAACGAUGACAACUAAAUAUUGCCGCGAGGCAGUGUUGAAGCUAACGCAUUAAGUUGUCCGCCUGGGGAGUACGGUCGCAAGACUGAAACUUAAAGGAAUUGACGGGG